GCAGUCGUGGCCGAGUGGUUAAGGCGAUGAACUAGAAAUCCCUUGGGGUCUCCCCGCACAGGUUCAAAUCCUGUCGACUGCG
rnacentral:tRNA from 2 species